rnacentral:rRNA from 1 species
GAUGAACGCUGGCGGCGUGCCUAACACACGCAAGUCGAGCGAUUCUCUUCGGAGAAGAGCGGCGGACGGGUGAGUAACGCGUGGGUAACCUGCCCUGUACACACGGAUAACAUACCGAAAGGUAUGCUAAUACGGGAUAACAUAAGAAAUUCGCAUGUUUUUCUUAUCAAAGCUCCGGCGGUACAGGAUGGACCCGCGUCUGAUUAGCUAGUUGGUGAGGUAACGGCUCACCAAGGCGACGAUCAGUAGCCGACCUGAGAGGGUGAUCGGCCACAUUGGAACUGAGACACGGUCCAAACUCCUACGGGAGGCAGCAGUGGGGAAUAUUGCACAAUGGGCGAAAGCCUGAUGCAGCAACGCCGCGUGAGCGAUGAAGGCCUUCGGGUCGUAAAGCUCUGUCCUCAAGGAAGAUAAUGACGGUACUUGAGGAGGA